rnacentral:lncRNA from 1 species
UAGCCCGGAUGUACCUAUAUCACGCUAGAACCUCGGCGACAGCGUGUGCUGCGGUCGCAUGAGGAGGUGCAUGGAGUAAUUUUGGCCGGAGGACAUGGACCGGCGUCGCCGCUGUUUUAUAUUCGCCGGAAUCCUUACCUGUGCCUCACUCUGCUGUGGCGGACCAGUGGAUUGUGUGGCGCACCAGCAUCCUAAUGGCUCAGUGACUUAUGUCUUACCUAAGCCUCUGUGCCCGGGGCAGUGGUCCUUCAACAACACUGUCAUCGCUUUUAAUGAAGACAAUGGAACAGAAUACAAUAAAACUCUAGUUUCUGCUCUAGCUGAGGCUUUCAUCACUCUGAAGAGCUGCAAGCACACCUUGACCUUCAGAAAAGUGUGCACGGCGGAGCCUCAAAUAAUACACUGUUCACACAACUGUUCUGCUAUGGACUUAGCUCCCUUUGGUAUGCAAGGCAAGUCAAAAAAAAAUUCCCUCCUCUCUCUCUCUCCUGAUCAGUAUUGCAUACUGGGGUGCUACGCUAUUGUGAUCUGA